UAAUAACCUGCUAUGUGUUAAUUAACCUAUCCACCCUCUUUUACAGCUUUUCUGUUACGUAAUAACCUGCUAUGUGUUAAUUAACCUAUCCACCCUCUUUUACAGCUUUUCUGUUACGUAAUAACCUGCUAUGUGUUAAUUAACCUAUCCACCCUCUUUUACAGCUUUUCUGUUACGUAAUAACCUGCUAUGUGUUAAUUAACCUAUCCACCCAUCUUUUACAGCUUUUCUGUUACGUAAUAACCUGCUAUGUGUUAAUUAACCUAUCCACCCAUCUUUUACAGCUUUUCUGUUACGUAAUAACCUGCUAUGUGUUAAUUAACCUAUCCACCCAUCUUUUACAGCUUUUCUGUUACGUAAUAACCUGCUAUGUGUUAAUUAACCUAUCCACCCUCUUUUACAGCUUUUCUGUUACGUAAUAACCUGCUAUGUGUUAAUUAACCUAUCCACGCCUCUUUUACAGCUUUUCUGUUACGUAAUAAGCUGCUAGGUGUUAAUUAACCUAUCCACCCUCUUUUACAGCUUUUCUGUUACGUAAUAACCUGCUAUGUGUUAAUUAACCUAUCCACCCUCUUUUACAGCUUUUCUGCUAUGUAAUAACCUGCUAUGUUAACCUAUCCACGCCUCUUUUACAGCUUUUCUGCUAUGUAAUAACCUGCUAGGUGUUUAUUGGACAUUAUUGUUAUGAGUAAAUCUAUGAUCAUGUGAUGUUGAGUACCUACCUGCAUUCCUGUGUUUAUUUUCCCCCUCGUGACAAUUGGAGCUAUAUUUCUGUCAACACUGCACAUCCACUCCAGUUUCCCACGCCCUCUACUCUUCUGCCUCCUCCUUCUCCUCUUCCCUACGCCCUCUACUCGUCUGCCUCCUCCUUCUCC